UAGAAUAUAUGCUGCUAUCCAAUUAGAGAAUAAGAUGUCCUGGAACAACAACAAAAAAAAGGAAAAAAUGAUACGGUUCUCUCUACGAGAUACAUGUAUAAAUAGAUGUUCCAUGGAAGGAGCACAACAGACCAGUCACAGAAGCUACCAAGCUAGCUAGAGGUGACAAGCAGAGCAGAAGCCUUACAUGUCAAUAAGGGCCUGCCUCUGAUAGCCAAGGAUGACUUGCCUAUGUCCUUUGUUUACAAAGGAUCAGAAUUGUGGACCUUUGUGUUGGUUCGUAGGCAGUCUCCUUGGCUAGCCUGAGUGGCCCCUAUUGCUCAUGCUAGGCUCAAUCGAGACUCUUUGACUUGCUGCACACAAUUAGACACAGGAGCCUCCUCGACCUGUGCAUGGGUGCAUACAAUUACCGUGUGAUUGGUUGCCCAGCUCUCAACGCCUAGGCUCCUCACGAGUGUUGACUGCGCCUGCAUUUCUGAUUGGUUGGCUGCACGGCUGCGCCCGGAAUGUGCGGGUGCAAGCAAAUCUAUUUUACGCUCCUCGGCGGCUGCCGGCAACCAAUCAAGAGAAAGAUGCUUCAGGCGGAGAGUUUCACUGCUCAUCGUGUCUACUGAUCUAUUGUUAUGUUGCUCGCCAGCCCCUUUGGUCACCGAAGUCCAAACCCUAAAGCUGUUCAACAAAGAGUUGUACUCCCUCCCUCGGUUCCAAAAUAAAAUUCGUUUUAACUUUUUAA